AUUGAACGCUGGCGGCAGGCCUAACACAUGCAAGUCGAACGGUAGCACAGAGAGCUUGCUCUCGGGUGACGAGUGGCGGACGGGUGAGUAAUGUCUGGGAAACUGCCUGAUGGAGGGGGAUAACUACUGGAAACGGUAGCUAAUACCGCAUAACGUCGCAAGACCAAAGAGGGGGACCUUCGGGCCUCUUGCCAUCAGAUGUGCCCAGAUGGGAUUAGCUAGUAGGUGGGGUAACGGCUCACCUAGGCGACGAUCCCUAGCUGGUCUGAGAGGAUGACCAGCCACACUGUAACUGAGGCACGGUCCAGACUCCUACGGGAGGCAGGAGUGGGGAAUAUUGCACAAUGGGCGCAAGCCUGAUGCAGCCAUGCCGCGUGUAUGAAGAAGGCCUUCGGGUUGUAAAGUACUUUCAGCGGGGAGGAAGGUGUUGCGGUUAAUAACCGCAGCAAUUGACGUUACCCGCAGAAGAAGCACCGGCUAACUCCGUGCCAGCCGCCGCGGUAA
rnacentral:rRNA from 1 species